GACGAACGCUGGCGGCGUGCCUAAUACAUGCAAGUAGAACGAGUUGCGAACGGGUGAGUAACGCGUGGUAACCUGCCUCAUAGCGGGGGAUAACUAUUGGAAACGAUAGCUAAUACCGCAUACUAUCAGAUGAGCCUAGGUCGGAUUAGCUAGUUGGUGGGGUAAAGGCCUACCAAGGCGACGAUCCGUAACUGGUCUGAGAGGAUGAUCAGUCACACUGGAACUGAGACACGGUCCAGACUCCUACGGGAGGCAGCAGUGGGGAAUAUUGCACAAUGGGCGCAAGCCUUAUGCAGCCAUGCCGCGUGUAUGAAGAAGGCCUUCGGGUUGUAAAGUACUUUCAGCGGGGAGGCGUUACCCGCAGAAGAAGCACCGGCUAACUCCGUGCCAGCCGCCGCGGUAAUAC
rnacentral:rRNA from 1 species